UGAAGCUACAGUGUACUGCACAGCUUCAUUGUUCUUUGGAAACAUUAUCACCUCAAUGCAAUUGCAGUGAGGAAACACUGGAGGCAGAACAAGAAAAAGAUGAAAACUAAGCUUCCUCGGCCUUCCUGUUAGGUGUCUUUGCCUCUGCCAUUAGCUAUGUCCAUAGAAGCUGCUGAGCCCAUUUACAUUACCCAGUUCUGGCAUGAUGCCGGUACAGCUCUCUGUCAGCAUUUCCUCCAUCCCCGGGCCUGAAAACGUCCUCCUCCAAAGUACCAGUACCAAUGUACCAGAACUCCCAGGCGUCCAGGCCAGGACUGCUAAAGCAACUAUCUAAGAGCAGCAACAUGAAGAAACACUGAAAAGUGUUGAGGCGGAGAAGUGGGUUUCUUCCUCACUUUCUCCAUGAAAUAUGAUCCAGUUCCACCCAAAUCAGUGAUGAGAUAAUACUCACCACUGGUCAGGGGUCUGCGGCGAGGUCGGCAACCCACCCGACCCAUCCUGAAACACGGACCAAGGAGUCUAACGCGCCUGGUAUACUCGCCACAUAACGCACGCGGGAGUCAGAGGGUGCAGCAAACCCCGUGGCGCAAUGAAAGUUUGAACUCGAGAUCUCGACUUACAAAGCCAAGGUCUCGCAAUGC